UGAAAAAUGAAUGUAUGAUGGUUGACGAUUUGUUGGUGCUAGUUGGAGAUGUUGUUAGUUGUGAUGGUGGAGAUGGUUGUUAGUAGAGAUAAAUUGUAGCGAUGGUAGUGGUUGAAGUGAUGGUAGAAGUUGUGUUACUAGUGAUAAUGGUGGUGGCGACCGAAGAAUGUGUGAAGAUUGUGAUGUAUUAGUGGUAGUUAGUAGUGGUGCUAGUUGUGAUAGAUGAGUUGGUCGAUAGUGAUUGAUGAUGGUGGUGUUGUUGAUGGCGGUAGUGG
rnacentral:lncRNA from 1 species